GCUUACCUGCAAGUCGAGCGGGGAAGGGUAGCUUGCUACCUGACCUAGCGGCGGACGGGUGAGUAAUGCUUAGGAAUCUGCCUAUUAGUGGGGGACAACAUUCCGAAAGGAAUGCUAAUACCGCAUACGCCCUACGGGGGAAAGCAGGGGAUCUUCGGACCUUGCGCUAAUAGAUGAGCCUAAGUCAGAUUAGCUAGUUGGUGGGGUAAAGGCCUACCAAGGCGACGAUCUGUAGCGGGUCUGAGAGGAUGAUCCGCCACACUGGGACUGAGACACGGCCCAGACUCCUACGGGAGGCAGCAGUGGGGAAUAUUGGACAAUGGGCGAAAGCCUGAUCCAGCCAUGCCGCGUGUGUGAAGAAGGCCUUUUGGUUGUAAAGCACUUUAAGCGAGGAGGAGGCUACUUAAAUUAAUACUCUAGGAUAGUGGACGUUACUCGCAGAAUAAGCACCGGCUAACUCUGUGCCAGCAGCCGCGGUAAUACAGAGGGUGCGAGCGUUAAUCGGAUUUACUGGGCGUAAAGCGUGCGUAGGCGGCUUUUUAAGUCGGAUGUGAAAUCCCUGAGCUUAACUUAGGAAUUGCAUUCGAUACUGGGAAGCUAGAGUAUGGGAGAGGAUGGUAGAAUUCCAGGUGUAGCGGUGAAAUGCGUAGAGAUCUGGAGGAAUACCGAUGGCGAAGGCAGCCAUCUGGCCUAAUACUGACGCUGAGGUACGAAAGCAUGGGGAGCAAACAGGAUUAGAUACCCUGGUAGUCCAUGCCGUAAACGAUGUCUACUAGCCGUUGGGGCCUUUGAGGCUUUAGUGGCGCAGCUAACGCGAUAAGUAGACCGCCUGGGGAGUACGGUCGCAAGACUAAAACUCAAAUGAAUUGACGGGGGCCCGCACAAGCGGUGGAGCAUGUGGUUUAAUUCGAUGCAACGCGAAGAACCUUACCUGGUCUUGACAUAGUAAGAACUUUCCAGAGAUGGAUUGGUGCCUUCGGGAACUUACAUACAGGUGCUGCAUGGCUGUCGUCAGCUCGUGUCG
rnacentral:rRNA from 1 species